GAUGAAGAACGUAGCGAAAUGCGAUACUUGGUGUGAAUUGCAGAAUCCCGUGAACCAUCGAGUCUUUGAACGCAAGUUGCGCCCGAAGCCAUUAGGCCGAGGGCACGCCUGCCUGGGCGUCACACGUCGUUGCCCCCCCAUCUACUCCUUCGGGAUUGCGGGGGGCGGAUGAUGGCCUCCCGUGCGCCUAGUCGCGCGGUUGGCAUAGAAGCCAAGUCCUCGGCGACGCACGCCACGACAAUCGGUGGUUGCGAAACCUCGGUUGCCCGUCGUGUGCGGUCGUCGCGCAUCGAGGGCUCGAAAAAAUUGCCGGGCUCCGGCUCGGCUUUCAACGCGACCCCAGGUCAGGCGGGGUUACCCGCUGAAUUUAAGCAUAUCAAUAAGCGGAGGA
rnacentral:misc_RNA from 1 species